rnacentral:rRNA from 1 species
UACGUAGGGGGCAAGCGUUGUCCGGAAUCAUUGGGCGUAAAGCGGGUGUAGGCGGCUCUAUAAGUCAGGAGUGAAAGCCCCGAGCUUAACUUGGGAAGUGCUUUUGAUACUGCAGAGCUUGAAUGUGGGAGAGGUUAGUGGAAUUCCUGGUGUAGUGGUGAAAUACGUAGAUAUCAGGAGGAACACCGGUGGCGAAGGCGGCUAACUGGCCCAACAUUGACGCUGAGACCCGAAAGCAUGGGGAUCAAACAGG